rnacentral:lncRNA from 1 species
GCCAAAUUUAUCACAGUUGUAGUGUUUGUCUAUUUCAAAGCAUUUAUAAUUAAAUGACACGAUGUUCAAUUGUGAUGUAAUGUUACAACAUGAAAAAUCUUCUUAUAUUUAUAAGAAAAAAGUUUGAUUUUUUUCCACAAAUUGACAUGGUCAUGGAUGGUAUUGCGCUCACAUGUCUUUUGUCACCAGAAAAUGUCUCUGUCACAAUAUACAGAACUCAUUUAACUAUUGUUGAAUUGUAAAAGUAUGAAAAAGUUCAUUGUAAAAUCUUCCAGAUAGUAAAAGUUAUUUGAUAUAUAGCAAAAAAAUAGAUCUAACUUGCAUAAG